rnacentral:rRNA from 1 species
UACGUAGGGGGCAAGCGUUGUCCGGAUUUAUUGGGCGUAAAGGGUGUGUAGGUGGCGCGCUAAGUCGGGUGUGAAAUUUCGGAGCUUAACUCCGAAACUGCAUUCGAUACUGGCGUGCUUGAGGACUGGAGAGGAGACUGGAAUUCAUGGUGUAGCAGUGAAAUGCGUAGAUAUCGUAAGGAAGACCAGUGGCGAAGGCGGGUCUCUGGACAGUUCCUGACGCUGAGGCACGAAGGCCAGGGGAGCAAACGGG